UCCACCAGGAAUGUCAAUCCUCUGUCCUGCAGGAACCUUUGGACUUCACCCCUGUGAUGAAAUCGGCUACAAGCAAGGAGUUAAUGUUUGACUGGGACCGCACAAGGAAACCAUGUGCCAGAUCUUCUCUUCCUCCUUAUUUGCUUUACAAGGAACUGCUGCACCCCAGCUGAAAAUGCCUCAAUGGGUGGAAGGUAUGUCUGUGAAGAUGCAUAUAUUGUCAGCUCAUGCCCCUAUCCUCUGGGCUGGAACCACAAGCAGGGACAAGCUGGACUUCCAAGACAACCUGUCCAGCAUGGUGGAGCUUUGUGAACAACUUUGCACACAGAUUAAAGGGCCAGAAGAGGAGACAUCAAAAAGAGCAAGAUGUAUACUCCAGCACUCCCAACAUCGCUGACCCCACUUCAGCCACCUCAGAGAUAUUUGCAGCAACGCUUCAAGUAUGUUCCUCAGAUAGAUGAGCACUCUGAGCCAGGUUGAGCGAAGAUGUACAUUGUAUAAAAUCACUAAUUAUGCUUUCCUGAAAGCAUGGCUGGCACAGCCCUGCGUUUGGAGACAAAGAACUCCCAGGCAAGGGGUGUAUAUAAAACAGGGUACUAUGUUUGCUGUUACUGUUUGCGAUGUGAAAUAACUUGAACAACAAAAACCGUUUUGGUGCAGAUAACUUCCCCCAUUUUUAGAAAUGCUGCCCCCCACCUGAAAGGAAGAAAAUUGGAUAUUGCUCCUCCUAAAGAAUCCCAGAUAAAUAAUUACUUAAGUAUCAGCUUUAGGCUGAGUCCAAGGAAGAAAGCUUGGGGCAAGAGCAGACUCUCACACAGGUAGCCUCCCAGUGCUGCAUGCAAACCUCUACCACCUCAGUUUGCUCCUAAUAGAACUGGCUGUUACAUAGGCCUGGACACAUGCUCAAUUACACCACAUCAGUGUGAUAAGACUCAAACACACAUAAAACAUGUAAUUAAGUUUAUUAAGGCCAGAAAGCCCAAUAUUAAGCUAGCCUUCUAGCACUUCUACCACUGUGAUAAUAAUGGAAAUAGAGGAACAAGCUGGCAAAUAGAAUUAAAACAAUAAUGUUGACAUCUAGCUCUGAGAGCUUUGAGAACUUUGCGAGAAGGAAUUUAACAGAAAAUCUAAUGGGCCAAAUCCACUCCACAUAAAUACGCCUCCAGCCUGUAGUAUGAGCCUAGAGCCACAAGGAUCAACAUCCUCUGAAACUGCAGAAAUUGUAGGGCUUAAAGCUGAGUGCACCAAGAAAAGACAGAAGAUUCAAAAUUUCUGAAAAACUGAAAGUUACAUCUGAGACAAGAACAUAUAUGAGAAACAGCCUUACAUAAACAAGCAGUAGUAACGAUUGAGGAUUUUGUCCUCAGCACUGUGGGCAAGUCUAAGAACUCACCCAAAGAGGAUGAGCUGUAGCAGUAGCUGGAUGUAACACAUGCCACCACAGAUACCAACACAAAAGACACCUGUCUGUCAGCAGCAGCGGCUAGGAAUUCAGACCUUGAGAUAUUUAGGCCUUAGCUGGAUACAAGAGCAGACACAUAAGUCACAAGUUAUGGCUUACCUUGCAAUUUUUCAAAUUCUAAAACAGAAAAGGCAGGGAACAUAUUUAGUUCACUUUUUUCUUCCCCAAAAAGACUUUUGAUAAGAAUAGAAAUUGGGCACUUUAAAGUUACACUAAUGCAAACAAUUAGUGGAAACAAGCAGCCAGUCCUAUGGUUCAUCAUUGGGGCAAAGAACGUAAAGAAAACUAACUUUGAAGUUACUCACCCAAGUCAUUAGAAAUAUUAAUACAAAUUUGUCUCAAAGUAGGGUUAUCCAAAGUUUCCUAGGCUGAAAAACUGAUGAGGUCAGACACCAGAGACCCAUCAUGUACAUAUGUCAUGGCGCCAGAGACAGACUUUUUUUCAGUACAAUUACAAAAAUUGCCAUUAAAAAAACCCCAAACCCACCACUGCAGAUUAGCCAAACCUUGCAACUUACAUGUCCUCAACAGUAAUGUCCUUCAAUAUUUGGCAAUAAUCCACAUUCCACACAGCCUGAUCAUCCCAGACUUUAGAAGCCAGCAGAAUAGCUCCUAGGACUAUCCUCUUCCAGUUACUAGGGCAUAUGUCAAUCUCUGCAUAGGUUAAAAGCCUUUCCAAAUAAACCUAUAGAAAGAAAAAAAGUGCCAACCAGUUUUUGCGUUAUUAAGACCUGGAGCUGAGCUCCGAGCAGCAAGCAUGCCAGUGCAAUAUGACUAUUCUAUCCCAUUACCAUCAAGUGUGUCAAAAUAAGUAUUAGUGAUUACUACUUACACUUUAGAAUCCAAACUUUCAGGAGUUACAGGUUCCAUUUUUUAGUAGAACACAAGAACUGGACCACCAAGUUAUACAAUAAAGAUCCUGAAGAAUCUGUUCAGAGCACGGACCACUGCAGUUUCAGUGAGACACUGCUCACUGUUCUUCCCAUCACGGAGCCACACAGGUCCUAAUGAGAAUCUGUCAGUGACUAUCUGGGACACUAAAUCACUCAACACCACACUAGCCUUUCAUCACAGGUAGGGUUCAGGACCUGUAGCUUAACAGGAAGUGCUAAAACCUGCAUUGUGAUCUGUAGUCAUGGGACAGAGACACAUUAGUUGCUACCCUUCCACAAUGAAAGGCAUCAUAGUGCUAUGUCUACUUCAUCCCGUAAAGAACAGACUUCAAUUCUUCACCUACAAUAAUGUCGUCCUCUGCUUUCAUCUACAUCACCAACUGCUUAGAUAGUGAAAGAUACGCCUUGGUCUUUUACUCAUUCCUUCCAUGUGAUCUCAGAUCAGCCCAAAGAUGUUGAAUCAGUCCCUUUCUUAAAAGUUUUCUGCUAUUCACACUCCUAUAAUGAUCCAAAUGAGUAAUUUGCACAUUCAAAUUUGAACAUAGAUUAUUUUUAAUGUUCUCUUCCAUAAACUAAGUCCAAGGUCCUAAUGAAACCUCAGAUAAACUAGUGAGUGCAGGAAGCUAUUGUAGAGGUCUAAGGGCAGGAUCAAUCUUUAUUACUAGGGUCUCCCCACACUUUCUUUCCACCCUUUGCUUGUAGCCUUCAAGUGGACUAAAGGUGUUCCUAUAAUAACAGAGCCAUCUAGUGGUAAAAUCCACUUUAAAAACUAACUCUUGUUUCUAUUUUUUGUAAAUAUUCCAGCUGGCUAGAUUGCCCAGGGUUAGUUAUGAUCUUGUUCUGUCAAAAUUGCUUGCCUGUCUUUGGAAAAUCAAAAACCUCAAACUACUUUCAGAGUUUCAAUAGCUCUAACUAUCUGGCCUUUUUAAUUACUUAUUUCCUUAUUAAAGAGAGUUGUUCAAGCUGAGUUUGCUUAAUUGCCACAUUGUUUUUGGAGACAGUUCUCUUCUGUUCUCCUUUCAGACUUUUUCAGAAAGAAGCCACAUGCAGACUGAAGUCUAGUAUGCAACUAAGUGGAGUUUAAGAGAUUGUCUAAUGCAGCAAUUAUACAGGCUGUGGUUUCUUCUUUCCCUUCAUAUACAUAUAUGAUUAUGCGCACAUGUGUGUGUGCACAAAGAAAUCAGUAUCCUCAACAAUUUUUUAUAUCCAUCUUGCUUUCUGAAAUCAAACAACAAACUAAUGAAAUUAUUUUCUUACUCUAGUUCCUAAGUUUCAGGUACCUCCAUGUCACCUGGGGAAACAAGUUGUAGCCUCUUUGGUUUAAUAAAAAGAAAACUUGAUAGAAAGGUGGCAAUGACUGAAGGACAUGAUAAUGAGAAAGUUAAUCUCCUGGAGUUCCUACAGUUAUUGAUCCUUGACCCCUUAGGGGGUCUUACCUACACUAUUCUGGUUAAUAUGAACUCAAAGCUCCCACUUUCCCCUCCACACAACUGAAAUAAAAGAUGUCUUUUGUGUUUGAUCUUAUUAUACCCUGCUGUUAACAGUGUCCCACUGUUCUGCCUUUUCUCAAGCUUCUUCAGUGAGUUAUAUAUUAUGAAACAAACAAUGUUUAAUUGGAUAAGUAAUUAAGCAUUACAUAUUCAUCUAAAGAAAAGGUAAGUCCCUUUUUAGUUAACUGCUUCUGUGACUACUUAGAAAUCUUCUCUAAUGAACUCACUUGUACAGCAUCUUCAUUAUUAACAAGGUUUCACAAGAUACUGUAACUAUUUAAAUGCCAGUUCAGCCCAGUUCAGUGGUUGAGUGGAGGAAAAAAGUCUUCCAAAAACUCAAGAUUGAGUAAUCAGGCAUCUCUUACCAGUGUCACUAUUGCACAUUCAGCUGUCAGCUGUGCAGCACUGAAAAGCGUCCGAACAAACCGGUAGAUGUGCUUGUGAUCAGGGUCAUGCUUGUAGUAGUCAUCUGGAACUUCCUCCCGCUGAAAGAAAGUUCUCUGAGUUACUGAAAAUAGUUCUUACUUAAUACUGACUCUGAAGAAUAGCUACACAUGGUUGUUUCUUCUCACUGAAGUGUAUACAACCUACAACCUUCCCGUGUCACAGACAGAACAAAAUCAUAUACUGAAAGCAGCAAGCAGCCUUGCAGGAUUAUGAAUAUUCCAAACCAAACACAACAGCUUUAGCUGAUAUUGUUGUUUUGAACACUUUUUUUGAUCUGUAAGGCUAACUGUAAAGAGCAUGAGCCACCAUCAUGCCAACUAUUGUCCAUGGAACAUUUUACAGACUAAGAGAUUAAAAAAAUUUGUUUUAAAUCACGGAUCUGUACACACCAGGGAACCACUUGCUCUUAAAAGGCAAAACUAAGACACUUCAAAAGAUUCCCCUUCUAGCUGAGGAAGAGCUGAAGAACACAUGUCAAUAAUUCUGUCACAGGUAGAACUGGAAGGUACCUUACGCUGUCUUCACAGGACUUGUUCUUAAGAGAUUCCAGAAAGACAACAAAGCUAAUGAACAGUUAGGCUUAACUCUGACAUGAUGCUGAACUGUUUCUAAAUACAGGGGAGAAGAAAAGGUUAGAAAUAAACAGUCUGUAAAAGCAAUCCUAAAUUGGGUGUUUGAGAAUUCUGACCCUGUCCCCCCCAUAACAUUCUGAUAUUCAGCACUCUUCCUGGAGGGAUGAAACUUGAAGAGCUUUAGACACUGUUUCUGCAAGGUUGAUACUGAAGAGGUUUCUAUCUACAGUCCAAGUUAGACCUAUAGUACAGUGAAGAUACCAGAUGAGAACAGCAGAGCUGCUUGACAUUAAACAAGUAGUCAUAAGGUAAGCAAAGCAGCAAGCAUUUUCAUGUGGUUUUGUAGUUUAAAAUAGCCAGGUAACAGUGUCAAGCAAAAUUAAGAGGUAAAUUAACUUUCUACUCUCCACACAGCCCUCUAAUACACCACUAACCAAUGGAGGUUACCUCUCCAAGGUGGGCGUGCAACACUAGGAAUAACAAGAGCAGGAUCCCCCUUGCAUAAUUCCUGCACUACGAGCAGUACAAAAGCACAUCUAGAAGUACAUUUUUGCUGACUGGAACUGAGGAAGAAAGGACUGAGACUGGUAUUUGUGACUAAGCCCUGUGAUGCUAGCAACUCGGUUUGUUACUUCUGCUAUUAGGGUCAAUAGAGCCUGGAUUUGGACUCCUCAUGACUGAAUCUUUAGAGGACAAGGUGUUCAGAGAUUUCUUCCAGCUAAUUAAGGUUUUAAAAGGAAGCCAAAACCCCACUGCUACAGAAACUAGCAAGCCAUUUGUAUCUUUCCCCUCAGAAGUAUGACACGCAGCCAUUACUAUACUUCUGUCUGUAUAUUGCAGUAAGAUAGAAGACCUUUAAGUGUUCCCCAAAGGACACAGUGAUUUUCUUCUAUUCAUACUCAUUAAAUAGGGGGUAGGCUAUAUGAAAGGAUCAAAAGAUGUCAGGUUGCUAAAUAAAGAAAACAAGUUGUCUGAUGGAGUGGAGUUCACCUUACAUAAAUAAUUUUCAAUGUGAAACAACAGAUUCAGGCAGUUAAAACAGUUUUGGACCAGACUCUUCUCUUGAAGUGCUGCAAGUCCAUACAAGAAAUCUUCUAUAUAGCUUUUCUCCUGAUGUUCAUUAUUUUUAUUGAGUAAAGAGUUGUAUUUAUUCAAGGGUAGAAUUCCUAACACAAUGCUUCAUGUUUAGGGAUGAAACUCUUAACUUAAAAUAUUUAAUUGUUUAUUAAAAACUGUUUAUUAGCAGGCCAAAUCUGUGACACAGAUUAAGCUGCAUUCACUCAGGUAAGUCCCAAGCAAACUGAAUUUUUAAAGCCACUAGAGCUUUACUAAAUCAAAUCAAAAAGAAAGGAAGUGGUUCUGUAGGACAGUCAUUAAGCUAGUAGUGCUCAAAGUAGACAUAAAAGGCACAUGCUCCACUCUUGAGCUUGCCUGUACCAUGAGUUUUUGCAUCUUAAAGAUUGUCUAAAAAGGUGUACCAGGACCAUCAAAUUAAAAUCACGUGGCAUGCUCCUAGCUGUUACCACAAGCAGCAUUAAGCAUAUUUGCCUUAAAAUUUUGCCUUUUGUGGUUUUUUUUAAGACCAAACUCACUGUCUCCUACUUUCUGUGAUGCUUCAUGUAUUAUGUUCAAAAAAUGUGUAGACGUGGCACUUCAAGAGAAGUGGUAGUUCAGGAGACAUGGUAGUAUUGGGUUGGACUUGAUGAUCCUAGAGGUCUUUUCCAACCUUAAUGGUUCUAUGAUUCCAUGUCCUCCUGUUUGCAGUCAUUGAAAAGGUUAGCCACAUAUCUACUAACCAUGUCUUCCUAAAUAAACAGGAAAGACUUUUAAUUAAAGUAGUGUUAAAGAGGGGAAGAAAGGGGUCAGACAAGAAAGUUCAGAUAAGAAAUAUGCGAGAACCAGCAUGCUUUCUAUUUAUAUUCAAAGCAUAGAAAACCAAAUAUACUCUGCAACAUUUAGAAAGACUGGGUUCUGUUCAUGAUCUAGCCGAUAUCAGAAGUCCAGAGGACACUGUCUGCACUGCAUUUAUAUAUAAAGAUACAAUUUAAGAUCAAUUCGCUUGUGACCUGGUGCUAAGACAUUUUUAUCUCUUAAUCAGUAAAAAUUAAGAUGUUAAAAAAGGUAUAUUGAUACACAUUCAGAGGAUCAAAGUUACACUUACUGUGAGAGGAUGAGAUUUUUCAUCAAAAAUAUCCAAUGAUCUGUCAGAAUCUCUACAAAGUAAAAAUCUCUGGUUUAGCAACAAGAGUUAAUUGGUAAUACUAAAAAAGUAUUAAUCAUUAAAGAGGAUAAAGGGACAUAUUUUAUAGUUCAGCUUUUCCUAGAAUAUAAUAUGAAGUUAUAUUGUAUUUUUGCAAUGCAUUUAAUGAUGCGAUCUUACGACUGAAUAUUUAAGCAGCUGAAAAAUAGCUACCCAUAUUCUCAUAUUAUACUUAGUACAGCUCUCCCUUAACAUGUGAAACUGUCUCAUUAAUAGUGUUUAUUUCAAAAAGGCAGCUGCAAUUUUGAAGUAUAUGCUUUAACUAGCUAUAAUGGCAACAGUUAUUUGUACUUGGGACAGCGUUUCUUCACCCGUCAAAACUAAUCUGUGCCUCUGUAUUCAGAAAAAGCUAAACAAAGUUCAAAGGCUGAUUUGUGGUGUAUUCUCCAUACUCCCUCUGUUUUGACUUUUUAUACUUCAUUCUAGAUGAAGGAUGUGCCAUUCGAUGGGUGUAAUACUGACCUUUCUGUAUCAGCUCAAGAGGGGGUACAAAGGGGAAGCAUAUAGAGCAUAAACUGUCGAGAUUUUUCAACUCCUUUAAGUUACACUAGCUGUUACUGAAGUGCCCGUAUCCCUGGCUCAAAAAGAAAGUUGGUAUAUUUCAGCAGAAAAAAAAGUUCACUCACCUGUUCUUUAUAUGGUAGAAUAUUGCUAAUGUUACACUGAAAAAGAGAAAGAAAAAAAGAAAAGACUUAAAACAGAUUCUGUGCACACUAUUCCACUGCAAAAGCUGUUGUUAAUGGCAAAAUGUUCAGAAUCCAUUAUGUAUUGGCUUCCUCUCACAUUCUUGAGUACUCUGUCUCUCAUUUCUGAUGUUUACCUGCCUAAACAGAAACCGGCCAAAUCAAAUUUGCUUGCCAAACUACUUUUACACUCAUUGUACAGGUAUUUGUAUUACAAAAUAAAUAUUAUACCACAUUUUAAAUACACACCUUCAUUGCCUGAUUACGUGACAUUUAUUGAAAAUGUGGACUAUUCACAACUAAAAUAUAAGUUCUACUUGAUGUUAAAUAUACUGCUGUAGAGGUUCUGCUGUUGUUUUAACUAUCUCUGGCUGUCUAAUUUCAGACCUGUCUAAAACAAAAAGAAUAAUAAAGAUUAUAUUAUGAAGACA